UGUGGAAACGAGAUUUCCCUGUGAC
rnacentral:piRNA from 1 species